GUUCUACAGGAGGGAGAUUGUUUGCAGCAUGAUAUUCCCGAAUUCGUCGUAAGACUCGGAGAUAUAGUUCGAUAUCGUUGAUUCGUAAGUAGAAUGGCUCGCCUUGUGAACGAGUAUGUGGCAUACAAAUCGACGAUAGAAAGAAUAGAAAGAAAAGAAAAAAAAAACCUUAGUCUCUACAGCGUAACAGAAGAGUUACGAUAUCGAUUAAA
rnacentral:lncRNA from 1 species